rnacentral:rRNA from 4 species
UCUUCGGAGAGUUUGAUCCUGGCUCAGGAUGAACGCUGGCGGCGUGCCUAAUACAUGCAAGUCGAGCGAACUGAUUAGAAGCUUGCUUCUAUGACGUUAGCGGCGG